rnacentral:rRNA from 1 species
GAAACCAACUGGGAUUGCCUUAGUAACGGCGAGUGAAGCGGCAAUAGCUCAAAUUUGAAAGCUGGCGCCUUCGGCGUCCGCGUUGUAAUUUGUAGAGGAUGCUUCGGCGAGGACUCCUGCCUAAGUUCCCUGGAAUGGGACGUCACAGAGGGUGAGAAUCCCGUAUGUGGCGGGCGGUCCAAGCCAUGUGAAGCUCCUUCGACGAGUCGAGUUGUUUGGGAAUGCAGCUCUAAAUGGGAGGUAAAUUUCUUCUAAAGCUAAAUACCGGCCAGAGACCGAUAGCGCACAAGUAGAGUGAUCGAAAGAUGAAAAGCACUUUGGAAAGAGAGUUAAAAAGUACGUGAAAUUGUUGAAAGGGAAGCGCUUGCAACCAGACUCGCUCGCAGUUGCUCAGCCCGCCUCUUGGUGGGUGUACUCUUCUGCGAUCGGGCCAGCAUCAGUUCGGGCGGCCGGAUAAAGGUGUCGGGAAUGUAGCACCCUUCGGGGUGUGUUAUAGCCCGGCGCGGAAUGCGGCCAGCCUGGACUGAGGAUCUCGCUUCGGCAAGGAUGCUGGCGUAAUGGUUGUAAGCGGCCCGUCUUGAAACACGGACCAAGGAGUCUAACAUCUAUGCGAGUGUUUGGGUGUCAAACCCAUGCGCGUAAUGAAAGUGAACGGAGGUGGGAACCCGCAAGGGUGCACCAUCGACCGAUCCUGAUGUCUUCGGAUGGAUUUGAGUAAGAGCAUAGCUGUUGGGACCCGAAAGAUGGUGAACUAUGCCUGAAUAGGGUGAAGCCAGAGGAAACUCUGGUGGAGGCUCGCAGCGGUUCUGACGUGCAAAUCGAUCGUCAAAUUUGGGUAUAGGGGCG